CAUCAUCUCGCCUGAAACCGGAAGCUUUUGUGAAUCAUGAACUCUCCUCAUUUCUGCUUAUGGUAUAUAACAUUAAUCAGCAUUCUCUUCUUGUCGCUACAGAUCUGAGAUAAACAAAGAGGUGUAACUAGUGGUGAGAUUUGAGCUUCGUGUUGCUGCUACUCAAGUGGUUGUUUGUUAGGGUUUGUGAAGGAGUGAGAGAGAGUGUGUGUGUGUGUGUGUGUGUGUUAUGAGUGUGUUAAUGGAGAAUGCAGAGAGAUUUGUUGGUUCUCUGCAUAAAGGUGAACUGUGAAUGCAGAAUGGCAACUGAUGCUAUGAAGAUGACAGCUGAUGACUAUUUGAUAUAUAAAUAA
rnacentral:lncRNA from 1 species